AACAGGAUUAGAUACCCUGGUAGUCCACGCCGUAAACGAUGUCGACUUGGAGGUUGUUCCCUUGAGGAGUGGCUUCCGGAGCUAACGCGUUAAGUCGACCGCCUGGGGAGUACGGCCGCAAGGUUAAAACUCAAAUGAAUUGACGGGGGCCCGCACAAGCGGUGGAGCAUGUGGUUUAAUUCGAUGCAACGCGAAGAACCUUACCUACUCUUGACAUCCAGAGAACUUAGCAGAGAUGCUUUGGUGCCUUCGGGAACUCUGAGACAGGUGCUGCAUGGCUGUCGUCAGCUCGUGUUGUGAAAUGUUGGGUUAAGUCCCGCAACGAGCGCAACCCUUAUCCUUUGUUGCCAGCGAUUCGGUCGGGAACUCAAAGGAGACUGCCGGUGAUAAACCGGAGGAAGGUGGGGAUGACGUCAAGUCAUCAUGGCCCUUACGGCCAGGGCUACACACGUGCUACAAUGGCGCAUACAAAGAGAAGCGACCUCGCGAGAGCAAGCGGACCUCAUAAAGUGCGUCGUAGUCCGGAUUGGAGUCUGCAACUCGACUCCAUGAAGUCGGAAUCGCUAGUAAUCGUAGAUCAGAAUGCUACGGUGAAUACGUUCCCGGGCCUUGUACACACCGCCCGUCACACCAUGGGAGUGGGUUGCAAAAGAAGUAGGUAGCUUAACCUUCGGGAGGGCGCUUACCACUUUGUGAUUCAUGACUGGGGUGAAGUCGUAACAAGGUAACC
rnacentral:rRNA from 1 species